UACUGCCUCCACCCUCUCCAUCUCUUCUUUUCUCAAAACCCGCCGCCACAAAUCAAGAUGGCAUCUGAUGUUGACGAUCAUCAACAACAAUAAGAAAAUCAGCACAAUGAUUUCUCCUCUCAAACAUAAGCUGUGGAUGAAGUGGAUGAAAAGCUGGGUUUCAUCAAUCAGUCCCGAUCUUUUAUCAUCCUGGCCUUCUGUUCUGUCAUCUCUCUAUCAUAAUCUAGGUGCUCUGGAAGUAGCCAAAUGGAUGGGAGGGAAACCCUAAAAUUGGGUGGUAUGCUGCUAGCAGCUUAGAAAUGUCAUUGGAAAAAGGGUGGAACGGAACGGCCAAUUUACUGAAAGUAGGAACAGACCAUGGAUUCUAUUGUUUCUCCUUCAUGUAUUAUGAACUAGGCUUUCCAAAGAACAGGUUGAGACUUCAUCGCGAAACUAAAAGGCUACAAAGAAUCAAAUUUCAUGACUAGUGGAGGGCACAAUACAAAUGUACCUAGAAGUGAACUCUAAACAGUCUACUGCAUUGCAUGUAUGUUUAAGAAUAUCAGCAAAGUCACAAAUUGCUAGGCUCCUACAUAAGGCGACACAAAGUGGAAACAAGGGCGACAUUGAAGGAGGGAAUCCAAAGGUAGAGCAAAUGUAAUCAAUACAAAGUUGUAACUUCUUGCACUUACAAUUGCUCUAUCUUUUGUUUCCCCAAAUCCAAUGUAAUUUCUAGCAACUUACAUUUGCUCAGAUUUUGGAUUCCCUCAUACAAGAAACAAGGUGAGCGAAAACUCAAGCUUCAGAGGCAAGCAGGAAAAAAAAGUGGAUUGCCUUUUGUUUCUUGUUUCACAUAUAAUGAAGCUUUGUUACGUUUUUCACCUGAGCUGAAGGUGCUUGGAACCUUGCAUUCAUAAAGAAGGAAAAUCUUUGUAUCAUCUCCAUUUAGGCUAAACUCUAUGGGCUAGAUUGGAGUGCUAGAUUGGCCAAAAAGUGUUGCAAAUCAAGAAAAAAGUGUUAGAAAAAA